GUCCACGCGGUAAACGAUGGGCACUAGGUGUGGGGGGUAUCCACUCCUCCCGUGCCGAAGCUAACGCAUUAAGUGCCCCGCCUGGGGAGUACGGCCGCAAGGUUAAAACUCAAAGGAAUUGACGGGGGCCCGCACAAGCGGUGGAGCAUGUGGUUUAAUUCGACGCAACGCGAAGAACCUUACCUGGGCUUGACAUCCCUGGAACUCCCUGGAAACAGGGAGGUGCCCUCGAAAGAGUGAGCCAGGAGACAGGUGCUGCAUGGCUGUCGU
rnacentral:rRNA from 1 species